UGACCAUCUUCCAAAUGUAUUUCAAUGAACAAGUGGGUUAUAAAUAUUAUUCACAACAUUAGUAUUAUGGAAAUAUUAAGACAGGUUGAGGGCGAAAAAGGAAAUUCGCAAAAUAGAACCAUGGUGAUAUUAUGGAAGGCUAGGGAUAAAAUGGUAAUUUCACAAAGUUCAAGAAAAUUCUAGAAAAAAUAAAAUAAAAAUAAAUAAAUAAAUAAGUAAGUAAGUAUGUAAAGAAAGGAGCAUGUGGCCAUUUUAUAUGUGAAGGGGGCAAAGUGUAAAUAUAGAUGGACUAAACUGUAUGAAAGAAGACACUUGGUCUUCUUUGACCAAGUGAGGAAAAAUCAAGAAAAGAAAAGAAAAAUCAAGAAAAAGGGAGAGAAUUCUAAAAAAGAAAGAAAUAGGGCAUGUGACCAUAAUUGGGGGACUAAAUUGCAAAUAUGGAUAAGUGAUGGAAGACCUAUAUAUAUAUAUAUAUAUAUAUACAUAAGAGGUCUUCAUAAUUAAAUUAGAGAGAAAGAAAGAACAACAAAAAAAAAAAAAAAAAAGAGGGUUCGGCCAAGGUAUGGCCAAGCAUGGCCAUGGGAGAUUUGAUCAAGAAAAAUUAUUUCUUUCAAGCUUUUAUACUAAGUGGAAGGCUCUCUACAAUGUGGAGUAUUCGUUGGAACAAGUGAAUCAUUCGUUUCGCAAAAAUGAGGUUCUAGCCGGGAAAAGGAACUAGUGCUAAGAUUAACAAGUUGGACGAAUAAGCGUAGCUAGUAAGGCGCGGCGCAGGUACACCCAGAUGAGCUGAGGCCCUUAUAGAAGAUGUUCCAGCGAAGUUGGCGAGCUCCAGUUAGCCCGGGAGUGUAGCCGAGUCAGUGUAUAUGUGCCAUGGUUUCCGAUUGCAGUUAGAGACUUUGCAGACAGAGUCGUGGGUAUAGAGCGUCAGCUUUGUAGACGGCUUCGCCUGUCAAUAUGUUAUUACAUUUCAUGUCAC